GCGGGUAUGGCGGAAUUGGUAGACGCGCCUGACUCAAAAUCAGGUUCCUCUGGAGUGGGGGUUCGAGUCCCUCUACCCGCACCA
rnacentral:tRNA from 1 species